AUAGUCCUGGGGUGCUCGUCACAACUCUACGUUUUGAGCCAACACAUCAACUUUGGGAGUCUCAUGUUUCAGUAUGGAAAGCAAGCCUUACAUAAUUUACCGUGAGGAAGUUUGAAAUAGUGAACGGGACACCCACCUGCCUGGAGCAGGUUCAAAACAAGGAAGAAUAAACGGCACUCAUGGGACUUUU
rnacentral:other from 1 species